ACGGGAGAUGCUAGCGUUGUUCGGAAUCACUGGGCUUAAAGCGCGUGUAGGCGGCAAGGUAAGUACCUUGUGAAAUCCCUCGUCUCAAUCGAGGAAUUGCUUGGUAUACUGCCCUGCUUGAGGCAGGUAGGGGUGCCUGGAACUCUAGGUGGAGCGGUGAAAUGCGUAGAUAUUCGGAAGAACACCAGUGGCGAAGGCGACACACUGGCCCAAUACUGACGCUGAGGCGCGAAAGCGUGGGGAGCAAACAGGA
rnacentral:rRNA from 1 species